GAUGAACGCUAGCUACAGGCUUAACACAUGCAAGUCGAGGGGCAGCAUUUUAGUUUGCUUGCAAACUAAAGAUGGCGACCGGCGCACGGGUGAGUAACACGUAUCCAACCUGCCGAUAACUCGGGGAUAGCCUUUCGAAAGAAAGAUUAAUAUCCGAUAGUAUAUUAAAACCGCAUGGUUUUACUAUUAAAGAAUUUCGGUUAUCGAUGGGGAUGCGUUCCAUUAGUUUGUUGGCGGGGUAACGGCCCACCAAGACUACGAUGGAUAGGGGUUCUGAGAGGAAGGUCCCCCACAUUGGAACUGAGACACGGUCCAAACUCCUACGGGAGGCAGCAGUGAGGAAUAUUGGUCAAUGGACGAGAGUCUGAACCAGCCAAGUAGCGUGAAGGAUGACUGCCCUAUGGGUUGUAAACUUCUUUUAUAUGGGAAUAAAGUAUUCCACGUGUGGGAUUUUGUAUGUACCAUAUGAAUAAGGAUCGGCUAACUCCGUGCCAGCAGCCGCGGUAAUACGGAGGAUCCGAGCGUUAUCCGGAUUUAUUGGGUUUAAAGGGAGCGUAGGUGGAUUGUUAAGUCAGUUGUGAAAGUUUGCGGCUCAACCGUAAAAUUGCAGUUGAAACUGGCAGUCUUGAGUACAGUAGAGGUGGGCGGAAUUCGUGGUGUAGCGGUGAAAUGCUUAGAUAUCACGAAGAACUCCGAUUGCGAAGGCAGCUCAC
rnacentral:rRNA from 1 species